rnacentral:rRNA from 1 species
CGCGUAGGCGGUUGUGAUAGUCAGGUGUGAAAUCCUUCGGCUUAACCGGAGAACUGCAUCUGAAACUUCAUAACUAGAGUACAGGAGAGGGAAACGGAAUUCCCGGUGUAGAGGUGAAAUUCGUAGAUAUCGGGAGGAACACCAGUGGCGAAGGCGGUUUCCUGGCCUGAUACUGACGCUGAGGCGCGAAAGCGUGGGGAGCAAACAGGAUUAGAUACCCUGGUAGUCCACGCGGUAAACGGUGAACACUAGGUGUGGGAGGUGUAAUACCUUCUGUGCCGAAGCUAACGCGUUAAGUGUUCCGCCUGGGAAGUACGGCCGCAAGGUUGAA